rnacentral:rRNA from 1 species
UACGGGGGGAGCGAGCGUUGUUCGGAAUUACUGGGCGUAAAGGGCGUGUAGGCGGCCAAAUAUGUGGGGCGUGAAAUACUCUGGCUCAACCAGAGAACUGCGCUCCAAACGGUUUGGCUUGAGUACAGGAGAGGAGAUUAGAAUUCCCGGUGUAGCGGUGAAAUGCGUAGAUAUCGGGAGGAAUACCAGUGGCGAAGGCGGAUCUCUGGCCUGAUACUGACGCUGAGGCGCGAAAGCUAGGGGAGCGAACGGG